rnacentral:lncRNA from 1 species
AAAUAUGUAUGAUAACAACUUUUUAAUCAUGACGAAUCAUCUUACAAGACAAAUACAUAAAAUAAUUAGUUAUUAAAUAUUAAUGAUGUUUAUAAUAAAAAAAAUAAAAAAAAAUGAAUGACUUAAAGUUUGAUAUAAAAGAAAAUAUAAUAAAAUAUAUACAAAUUGUAGUGAUUAUAGUCUAUAUUAAGUAAACAUAAAAAAUUUAUAAAAAAAAUAA